GAUGAACGCUGGCGGCGUGCCUAAUACAUGCAAGUCGAACGAAACUUCUUUAUCACCGAGUGCUUGCACUCACCGAUAAAGAGUUGAGUGGCGAUCGGGUGAGUAACACGUGGGCAACCUGCCCAAAAGAGGGGGAUAACACUUGGAAACAGGUGCUAAUACCGCAUAACCAUAGUUACCGCAUGGUAACUAUGUAAAAGGUGGCUAUACUACCGCUUUUGGAUGGGCCCGCGGCGCAUUAGCUAGUUGGUAGGGUAAAGGCUUACCAAGGCAAUGAUGCGUAGCCGAAUUGAGAGGUUGAUCGGCCACAUUGGAACUGAGACACGGCCCAAACUCCUACGGGAGGCAGCAGUAGGGAAUCUUCCACAAUGGGCGAAAGCCUGAUGGAGCAAUGCCGCGUGGGUGAAGAAGGUCUUCGGAUCGUAAAACCCUGUUGUUAGAGAAGAAAGUGCGUGAGAGUAACUGUUCACGUUUCGACGGUAUCUAACCAGAAAGCCACGGCUAACUACGUG
rnacentral:rRNA from 1 species